rnacentral:snRNA from 1 species
GGAUGUGAAGGUGAUCUGGCUGUGCUGUCACCCCAUUGAUCACCGGGGUGGCUUCCCCUGAUCUGGCUGGCUGGCGCUCCCUUCCUCCCUACGGCUCCACGUACAUCCGUCCGAAAGCUGCGUGCUCUGGUCAAAGAGGACGACCUUCCCAGAUAGAGGAGGGCCCUUCUCAACUCAAGCGUGUAUAUAGAGCAGCUGCGCUCCCCUGCUAGAACCUCCAGGCAAGCUCUCAAGGUCCAUUCUUAGGAGCGUGUAGGGUAGUGAAGCUUCAAGACUCCAGAUGCAUCCAAGUGACGUGCUGCAUGCGUCAGUCUGCCUUUCUUU